UACGUAGGGGGCAAGCGUUGUCCGGAAUUAUUGGGCGUAAAGCGCGUGUAGGCGGCCAGAUAAGUCCGCUGUGAAAUCUCGAGGCUCAACUUCGAGCUGUCGGUGGAAACUGUCUGGCUAGAGUCCGGAAGAGGAGAAUGGAAUUCCUGGUGUAGCGGUGAAAUGCGCAGAUAUCAGGAAGAACACCCGUGGCGAAGGCGGUUCUGUGGGACGGUACUGACGCUGAGACGCGAAAGCGUGGGGAGCGAACAGG
rnacentral:rRNA from 1 species